CCCACCUCGUCCUCCCAAAGUGCUGGGAUUACAGGCCUGAGCCACCGCGCCCGGCCGUUGUUUAGAUUUUUAUGAAUCUAAAUUUAACAGUCAAUGAAGUUGUUGUAAAGUUCUUCAAAGACAAAUAUGUGGUAAUUUAAACCUUGCCGUUUCUCUUCACAAUUUUGAGUAGAGAAAAUUUUUUCACAACUCAAACUUCUUAUGGUGCUUGGCGAAGUUGGAGGCCCCGACACACGGUUUCUAUGAGUUCACUAUAGCUGAACAUUGUGGUGGUGGGAGAACUUAGAGAACCUGAGGCUUGUUCUCAGCAUGUGCCCUGCUGCCACAGGCUGAUUGAUCAUAAUCCAAGAACAACUGUCAACUGGUUAAAUUCAACGUUCACCUUUAUUUUUUAGAAUGUCUUGGAGCCCUAAAGAACCUGGAUAAUUUCUGGGUUAAUUCUCUCCAAAUCAGAGGGCAAGCAGAUUAGAUUUUAAAGUGUAUGGCAUUUAAACACAGAUUCCAGAAAGUGAAUGCAUGUAGUAUUCCUCAUCUUUUUAAUGCAAUACUCCAACCAUCUAGACCUUUUGAUUUUCUUUUAUGCAAUCAUCCCUAGAGGUUUACCCACCACUGGUACUUGUAACACUUAACCCAGGGUAGUCAACUUCAACAAUGGCCACGUACUCACCACUCCCUAUACGCUCACCCUCUGCCAUCUGGCUUUGUCCUUCCUCCCAGCAAGAAAUGGACUCUACUUUCCAGCCCUGGAAUCAGCCUGGCUGGGUGACCUGCUCUAGCCAGUGGGACAUUGAAAAAUACAAAACUAUAGGAAAGUGCUUGUACAUUAGGACUUGCCCUUUCUUACGGACCCUAGGGACCCUCAAUGGCCACUGGCCACUGCAUCAUAAGCCCCAGCCCAGCUGAAGAUAGGUGACCUGGUCACCUCCAUCACCCCAGCCAACACCCUCUUUCCCACAUCCCUAAACGCUGUUGUAUAAGACCACAUGGGCCAUUGUAACGGCUUUGGCUUUUAUUCUGGGAGAGGUUAGGAGCCACUGUGGGUUAUUGACAGGUGUGAUGUGAUCUGACUGCUGCUCAGGGCCUGGACAGCAAAUGAGGAAGACUUAUUGCAGAAAUUCAGAGCCUAGUGACCUGGACCAGGGUGGAGGCAGCAGAGGAGAGAAACAGAUGAUCAAGACUCUGCUAGCAGGAGAAAAAGAGAGAAAAGAGAGAUGAAAAAGUCUUGUGUGACCAGAAGCUUAUCAACCUUGUGUGCUGUUGGCUUACUUUAACAUUUACAGCAGAUGAUAGAAUUGUGUUCAGAUGACACAAUAAGGUAUCAAAUGACUUCACGAAAGCAAGACGGCACUGAACCCCAAGUUUGUGCCUUCAGUCUCUCGCCUCGGCACCUAGGUAAUCCUUUGCCCACAGGACCACACCACCCUCCCCCAGUGAGAGGAACCAGAGUGACGGGAAAGGGAAGCCCCACACAACCAGCACUCGAGGCCCGGCCCACUGGGAGCACUGGGUGGCCUGGCCUGGGAAAGCCCCUUGUGCCCCUUGGGUGGCACCAGCAGGUACCCGUGGGAGCUCCAGCAGCACCAGACAAACCAAGCAGACCCAAGAUAGCACCAUGAAGGCUCUGAACAUCAAAUUGUCACUGGAAGCAUGGCCUGCAGAAGCGGGCCACAAUCCUCACACUAAACCUAAGCAGAGCGACUGGCUGCAAAAAGGAAAGACUUAAAAAAUAGGAUCCAGAGACCUUCCUCUUCCUCAUGAGUUUUCCAAAUCACACUUGAUUGAAACAAAAACGUUAGCACCAUCUGAGACUCAGGACAGUGAUAUUUAUGAGCGGGGAGGGUAAAGGAAGCUCCAUGCUAUAAGUUCCGCACCUCGCUUGAAGUAGGAAAAGGCCACGGCACGCAGGACUCACUGAGUGGCUACCAAAAGAAACCAACGCUGAGCUAUAGCAUGGCAAGCUAAUACUACAUUUUGGAAAAGCACGCAUAUUGAAAUUUGCGUCAUUUGUGCUAUUAUUUGUGCUAUUAUAAAGACCUGACGCCUGGUGGAA